rnacentral:rRNA from 1 species
GUGGGGAAUAUUGGGCAAUGGGCGAAAGCCUGACCCAGCAACGCCGCGUGAAGGAAGAAGGCUUUCGGGUUGUAAACUUCUUUUGUCAGGGACGAAAAAAAUGACGGUACCUGACGAAUAAGCCACGGCUAACUACGUGCCAGCAGCCGCGGUAAUACGUAGGUGGCAAGCGUUAUCCGGAUUUACUGGGUGUAAAGGGCGUGUAGGCGGGAAAGCAAGUCAGAUGUGAAAACUAUGGGCUCAACCCAUAGCCUGCAUUUGAAACUGUUUUUCUUGAGUACUGGAGAGGCAGAUGGAAUUCCUAGUGUAGCGGUGAAAUGCGUAGAUAUUAGGAGGAACACCAGUGGCGAAGGCGAUCUGCUGGACAGCAACUGACGCUGAGGCGCGAAAGCGUGGGGAGCAAACAGGAUUAGAAACCCCAGUAGUCC